UACGAAGGGGGCGAGCGUUGUUCGGAUUUACUGGGCGUAAAGAGCUCGUAGGCGGUUUGUCGCGUCUGCUGUGAAAACCUAAGGCUCAACCUCGGGCCUGCAGUGGGUACGGGCAGACUAGAGUGCGGUAGGGGAGAUUGGAAUUCCUGGUGUAGCGGUGGAAUGCGCAGAUAUCAGGAGGAACACCGAUGGCGAAGGCAGAUCUCUGGGCCGUAACUGACGCUGAGGAGCGAAAGCAUGGGGAGCGAACAGG
rnacentral:rRNA from 1 species